GUAGCUGGCCUUCCGAGGCAUGUGCACGCCCUGCUCAUCCACUCUACACCUGUGCACUUACUGUGGGUUUUACSGGUCGUGAAAUGGGCUCGUUCAUUCGGGCUUGUUGAGCGCACUUGUUGCCUGCGUUUAUCACAAACUCCAUAAAGUAUUAGAAUGUGUAUUGCGAUGUAACGCAUCUAUAUACAACUUUCAGCAACGGAUCUCUUGGCUCUCGCAUCGAUGAAGAACGCAGCGAAAUGCGAUAAGUAAUGUGAAUUGCAGAAUUCAGUGAAUCAUCGAAUCUUUGAACGCACCUUGCGCUCCUUGGUAUUCCGAGGAGCAUGCCUGUUUGAGUGUCAUGAAAUCUUCAAUCUACAAGCUUCUUAUGGGAGUUUGUAGGCUUGGACUUGGAGGCUUGUCGGUCCUUUACAGGUCGGCUCCUCUCAAAUGCAUUAGCUUGGUUCCUUGCGGAUCGGCUUGUCGGUGUGAUAAUGUCUACGCCGCGACCGUGAAGCGUGUUUGGGCGAGCUUCUAACCGUCUCGUUACGGAGACAACUUUAUGACCUCUGACCUCAAAUCAGGUAGGACUACCCGCUGAACUUAAGCAU
rnacentral:rRNA from 1 species